UGGGGAAUUUUGGACAAUGGGCGAAAGCCUGAUCCAGCAAUGCCGCGUGUGUGAAGAAGGCCUUCGGGUUGUAAAGCACUUUUGUCCGGAAAGAAAUCCUUGGCUCUAAUACAGUCGGGGGAUGACGGUACCGGAAGAAUAAGCACCGGCUAACUACGUGCCAGCAGCCGCGGUAAUACGUAGGGUGCAAGCGUUAAUCGGAAUUACUGGGCGUAAAGCGUGCGCAGGCGGCUUUGCUAAGACCGAUGUGAAAUCCCCGGGCUCAACCUGGGAACUGCAUUGGUGACUGGCAGGCUAGAGUAUGGCAGAGGGGGGUAGAAUUCCACGUGUAGCAGUGAAAUGCGUAGAGAUGUGGAGGAAUACCGAUGGCGAAGGCAGCCCCCUGGGCCAAUACUGACGCUCAUGCACGAAAGCGUGGGGAGCAAACAGGAUUAGAUACCCUGGUAGUCCACGCCCUAAACGAUGUCAACUAGUUGUUGGGGAUUCAUUUCCUUAGUAACGUAGCUAACGCGUGAAGUUGACCGCCUGGGGAGUACGGUCGCAAGAUUAAAACUCAAAGGAAUUGACGGGGU
rnacentral:rRNA from 1 species